AAGCUCUGAAGCCAGAGCGUCUCAGGGACGGAGGCCGGAGACCCUUUCCCAGAGUCCACCACCAUCUGCUUCCCGUCAAGGGACCACCGCAGGCACGAAUUAAUGCCAGGUACACUCCUUAAAAAUAAGCCAAAACAAAGCACUUCGAUUCACAAAUGGAAGGGGCGUCGGCAGCCUAUGGGCCAGGAGUUCAGCACAUCAACCAGGAGGGCAGCCCCAGAGGCUGAGAACGACAGAGCCUGAAUCCAGAAUUUGGAUACGCAGAAGCGAACACUUAAAAAUAAGGAAGGGGGGUGGGGUGGGGGAGUGAACCCUCAGAACUGAUUUCAUCAUAAUGUAAGCAAAGUUGCAAAAUAAACAGUUAUCAUCAUUGGCAAAUUAUUGUAGCUGUAAAACUGCUCUGUCCUCAUGUGUGAUGAUACGGACCAAUAAAUUCUGCACUUUGUUAUCUCGGUGAGAUAAUUUUUUUAAAAGUAUUUUACAGCUACUUCUUGUAGUUUAUUUUUCUUUUGAAAAAUUUUAAAAUUUAAAUGUACCUUGUAGACCAUGCAAAAUAAUUACAAUUUUUCAUAAAUGGCUCACAAAUAAUUUAUGGACGUCUACAUAGAACAGCUAGAGAUUUAAUGUGUUUCCUAUAGAGAUUAUGAAGAUACUAAAAUCAAAUGUCCUAAAACCCCCACGAUUUCAAAUUUAAAUCCAGCAUUAUGCUGUUUGUGCUGCAAAGCAAGAUAAAGAUUGGUGAUUAAUUAAAACAUUUAAGGUCCCCUGACAUAGGGCAUUUGGAGUCUUCAAAGCCAAAGAUGAAGACUAAAAUUUAAAUUAAAAUGUAAUGAAAAUGAUGGUUGUUCCUCUACCGAAUUUUUCAGGGGAUGAGAAUAACAUUUAAUGAAACUGCUUUUAUAUGCAAGUGCAACUUGUUUAUUUUGACCUCAGUUCUUCGAAAUUGUUGACGCCACAAUUGAAAUAUGCUGUGUGUUCUAACAAGGACCCAGCAGUCGUAAUGACAGACCAGCCCAUCUGUGCUGUGAGAAUGUAUAAUUUCAGUCUAUAGUGGAAUUUAUAUAGAAGUGAUGAUGUGAAAACUGCUAUGUGUGGUACUUUAAAAAAACUGCUAAGAAGUAAUGGGUGCUGUGGAGAAUGCCAAUAUUUUGCUUGAUUAGAAAAAAAGAUUAUAUGGAAUUUUACUGAUCUGGGGGGGGUAGAGGUUACUACCCACGUUAAAAAACUAUUAUAACUGAUCUCAUAUAAACACCCCAGCUCUAUAAGAUACAGUAGAAAACAUGUUACUGUAUACACUAGAACUGUUAAAUUAAUGGAAUCUUGGUGGAAAAUACUAAUGCAGAAUGAAAAUGCUCAUUUGGGAAUUAAUUGAUCUUAUGUUUCUUGCCCUUACCUUGUCCAGAAAGAAAAUGAAUUAAUGUUCAGGAAAUCUAACUAGCAUUCCAGGAUUUAGGAUUCAAGUCUUGUUCACCAACAUUAAAUAUACCAAAAAAAUAAAAAAUUUAAAUAUGAGGAGGGGGCAACUAUUAAAAGCACACAUUCUUUCAAAAUGAUUAACUCUCCUUUCCUCCCAGCCCAACUUUCCAUACUCUUGGCUUUUGCCUUUAGAAGGUAUUGUACUGUUUUUACCUACUACUAUUAUUUUGUUUGAUUUGAUGCUUGUUGAGUAUUUGGGUGGUGCGAUCCUUUAGCUCACAGCAGCAGAAUGUGGCUGUCAUAAUCACGAAAGUGUUCUAAUUAUCUCAGCUAUAUACGCCUGUCUCUGCAGCCACAAACCUCCCGUAUCGACUGCCGUUUAAUCUAAGAACAAAAGCAGCCGUGAUAUUCCUCAUGUGAGCUGAGCUCAGUUUUAAUAUUUGGUGGUGUCUGCUCCAGCCAGCUGCUCAGGCGCACACAAACAGGG